rnacentral:pre_miRNA from 1 species
UUAUAGGAUGAGCAAAGAAAGUGGUUUCUUGAGAUGGAAUCUAUCCCUAGUGAAGAUGCUGUGAA